CUGGCUCAAACAGCUGGCAUCUGUUUUACAGUAACCACCCUCUCUGUGGUUUUGGUGGUGUGUGUGUGUGUGUGUGUGUGUGUGUGUGUGCGUGUGUGUGUGCAUGUGUGUGUGCUAGUGUGUUUGUUCCUUUUGCAGACUUUAAACAUUCAAACAUGACACUAACAGAAGUUCAUGAGAAAUACACACACAAAAACUUCCUUGUUCUCUCUCUCUCUCUGUCUCUCUCUCUCUCUAUUAUACCAAUAUAGCCAUAUAUUGCAGCUUAGUAUAUAGAUAGCAUAUAAUAGAGGAUGAUAUGGCAUGAAAUAAAAACUACUAUUACUGUUAAUACUAUUACUGUUCUCCCCACUGUUAAUCUUUUUGUCCUCUCCCCCCCCCUCUCUCUCUCCCUCCCUCCCUCCGUAUGUUUUCUUGUUCUCUCCCUCCCUCCUUCCGUCUGUUCUCUUGUUCUCUCUGGCUCGUCGCCACACCUGUUUUUAUGAUCCUCUCGCUGAAACGACCAGAAUGACUUGAACUGUAAAGCAGCUCUUGGCUUUAAAGUAUCUCCCUGUCCAAACUAAUUCAUGAAACAUGACUAAUUCUCAGAUAUCGUGGACAGAUAUAUAUAGAGAGAGUGUAUGUUUGUGUGUGCGUGUGUGUGCCUGCUCCCGUGUGUGCCUGCCUGUGCAUGUGUUUAUUGGCAAAUUAACAUCAGAAUUAUUGUGGAGCAGUGCAAAUAUUUGCUGUGGUCAUCUGCAGAGCACUUAAGCAUUAUGUGAGUCGACAGUAAAAGAGUGCCGUCUACUCGUCAGCUGUUGUUCAAAGGAGUGCAGAUAAAGGCCAGGGAAGCACUAAAUGUACUGCGCUGAUGCCAUUGUUUACACAUCUACAAAGUGAUAAGGCACUGCUGCUCAAGCUGUAAAUGAACAACAGUAUUCAGGAUCUUCAUCACUCUGAAAGAAGGAGAACUCAAACCUUUAACCAGUUCUCUCUGCUUCCUGACUCACUGCUGCCCCCUUCAGAUUAGAAAAGAAGCAACAUCAGCCCUACUGAAUCAUUACAACUGGCUCUUUACAUCAAAUGUGCAUGGCGGGUGAAAUCAGUUCCUGCCAUUCUAUUAUAUGUACAAAUUCAUGAACACAUGGGGUGAUAUGUGUAUGUUUUCUUUUAAACAAUAAUGUCUAAUAAUACAGUUGCAAUAAUACAGUCUAACAAUACUGUCUUAUGCCAUUGAGAGUUGAACAAAUGACAACUCUAUAACUAUAAUCAUAUACACAUAAAUCUGUGCAAUGGUAUAGAAAAUAAGUCCAGAUAUUGUGGUAAAAAGUAGCAAAUAUUGAAAAACUUGUGCAACAUCUUCAUGUGCUUUCUGGGGAUGCCUUGGUGUGGCUAUAUGGCCACCAUGGUCACAUAUGAUCAUGUAAACUAUUGCAUUCAGAGUAGCCUAAAGAGAGAGGGGGGAAAGGGCAUGAUGAUGCCAGUUGGGCAGAGAUAGAAGAUGGCAUGGGGGUGACUAAAGGGGCAAAAACUGGGUUAUCUAGUUAAAAGUGUCAUAGCCCUGUCUAGGGUGCAGUCGUUUUGGUUUGAAUAUUGUUUACAUGACCACAUAAGAUCAUGUAUAAGCCCCCCAUGACAUAAGACAGUAAUGAAUAAUAUCCUGUAGUAGUAAAGCACUACUCUAGUUCAACUUGAAAAGAGCACUGAUCAAAUGUGACAGGAGACGAAGGACAUAAUAAGGUGUUUUCACUAAACUGAGGUCUGUUAUUUAACCAUUUAGAAUACCAUUUUGCACUUUGUAACAAGUUAUUAUUUUGAACAACAGUGAGUGAUACUACUGUAGCAUAGCAUUUGUCUUGGUAUGGGGGUUGCAUUUUGAGCAUUUUUGAGUAUUGGGGGAAUCUAUAUGUCCCCCUCAAAGUAUAUUAUGAUUUCACCCUUGGUCUUCGUAAUAUUAUAAAGCACACCAAUAUGCCAAUAUGUCUCAUCUAAAUUGUAACAGCAUUUAAUGUUA